AAUAGAUACCCGGGUAGUCUACGCCGUAAACGAUGCGCACUAGGUUCGAAGGUCUCUGACGAUCCUCGAGCCGAAACAAAGCGUUAAGUGCGCCGCCUGGGGAGUACGGCCGCAAGGCUAAAACUCAAAGGAAUUGACGGGGGCUCACACAAGCGGUGGAGCAUGUGGAUCAAUUCGAAGCAACGCGAAGAACCUUACCUGGGUUUGACAUGUACGGAUGCCCUCGGGGAAACUCGAGUAAGCUGCCUUCGGGUGAAACGUAUACAGGUGCUGCAUGGCUGUCGUCAGCUCGUGCUGUGAAGUGUCGGGUUAAGUCCCUUAACGAGCGAAACCCUUAUCGCUAGUUGCCAGCGGGUCAUGCCGGGAACUCUAGUGGGACUGCCGGCGUCAAGCCGGAGGAAGGCGGGGACGACGUCAAGUCAUCAUGCCCCUUAUGUCCAGGGCUACACACGUGCUACAUUGGCGCAUCAAAGGGCAGCAAUACCGCGAGGUGGAGCGAAUCCCAUAAAGUGCGUCUCGGUUCGGAUUGG
rnacentral:rRNA from 1 species